rnacentral:SRP_RNA from 1 species
AUUGGGCGCAGUGGCACAUGCCUGUAUUCCCAGCUACUCGGGAGGCUGAGGUGGGUGGAUCGCUUGAGCCCAGGAGUUCUGGGCUGUAGUGCUCUAUGCCUAUCGGGUGUCCACACUAAGUUCGGCACCAAUAUGGUGACCUCCCAGGGGCGGGCGACCACUAGGCUGCCUAAGGAGGAGUGAACUGGCCCAGGCUGGAAACGAAACAGGUCAAAACUCCCUAUGCUGAUCAGUAGUGGGAUCGGGCCUGUGAAUAGCCACUGCACUCCAGCCUGGGCAACAUAGCGAGACCCGGUCUCU